AGCUCCCAAGCCCAGAGUUCAAGCCCCACGACCGACAAAAAAAUAAAAAAAUUACAAAAAUAGUAGAGUCCUUAUAGACCUUUCUCCAGUUCCUAAGACAAACAUUGCGUAAAGCCAUACUGUAAUGAGAAAACCAGAACAUGACAUAGUGGCAGUACUGCUGACAUGUAGGACUUGAAUUUUGCCUAGUUUUCCCCCUUUUGUACUUUCUCUGGUCCAGAUUGGAGCCAGGACACCCCAUACUGCACACAUUGUCAUGUUCCCCUCACUUACUUUUGUUCCCCC